rnacentral:lncRNA from 1 species
UACACAUAUAAUUUCACAGACACAGUCUUCUCUAUAAUCGAAUAUUAUAUAAAAAUAUUUCUGGCAUUCUGCAAUUUUGAAGAAAACAAAUACCCCAAUUUGACGUGUUUAAAAUGUACGUACUAAAUAUAUUGGUCAAAAUGCACAAAUUGAAAGCAAAUAAUUAAGAACAACAUUACUCAGAGGGUUUAAUUUUCAAAGUUUACCAGGACGUCCUCCUUUAAAAGUUGUGUCAGAUGUGUCUAUUCGUUAUCUUAAAUAGUGAAGGACCUCUUUAUUAAAUAAAUGGUGAUUUCUUGUUUAUCGGGAUCGGGAUUUUUAACAAAAUAUGUCCGGGAUUUCGGGAUUUUCUGAUAUUAAAACCGGGAAAUCGGGAUGAGACCCCCUCUAGCCCCCCCUCA